rnacentral:rRNA from 1 species
UGACCUCGAAUCAGGUAGGAAUACCCGCUGAACUUAAGCAUAU